AGCAGUAGCGCGGUAAUACGAAGGGGGCUAGCGUUGCUCGGAAUGACUGGGCGUAAAGGGCGCGUAGGCGGAUUGCUUUGUCGGGCGUGAAAUUCCAGGGCUCAACCUUGGGUGGUCGUUCGAGACGGGUAAUCUAGAGUUUGGCAGAGGGUCGUGGAAUUCCCAGUGUAGAGGUGAAAUUCGUAGAGAUCGGGAGGAACAUCAGUGGCGAAGGCGGCCAUCUGGGACAACACUGACGCUGAGGCACGAAAGCGUGGGGAGCAAACAGGAUUAGAUACCCCCGUAGUCCCUGUCUCUUAUACA
rnacentral:rRNA from 1 species